rnacentral:tRNA from 3 species
GCGCGGUUAGCUCAGUUGGUAGAGCACCAGCUCGACACGCUGGGGGUCGCAAGUUCGAGUCUUGCACCGCGCACCA